ensembl:lncRNA
GGGUAGUGCAAACAUGAUGGCCCACACACACAACCCGACGAGAAGGACCGGUCCCCUUGAAAGAAGGAGCUCAAUAAUUCAAAGGGAGGAGAAUGAAAGAGCGAGAGGGAGUAAGAGAAAGUGAGAGAGCAAGAGGUUGUCAGUAAUGUGCAAUACAUGGCAGGUUGAUGGCUCGAUCGCCGGCAGGUUCAAGUUUGCCAAUCGCCGUCAGUUCAAUCUUGCGAGCGCACGGGGGAGUACAAGCCUUGUACACCGAAAAAGGUGAACGGGGAAUCGGCGCAGGCGCAGUGGGUGCAGCCGAAAUACCCCCGCCACUGCAUUUCAGAACGUGGGAUGAGGGAGGAGGAAACGUGCGAAGGAAGCACUAGGGAGCGAACAAUCACUCGCCUGGCAUGAGAUGCGUGAUGCUCAUGACGUUGAGCGUGUGAUGGGGCUGCAGCGCCUCCUGCUGGUGGAAGGCGGUCACAGCACCCAUCACGGCAUCGAACACUUUAUUUAUUAAAUCAUUCCAUUCCCUUCAAUUCAGCCCAGUUUAUUGUGGCUGAGAAUUGCUGAUAGUAUGUAAUAUGUCGUCAUACUAUAAUCAAUUAUAGACAGAAAGAGGAUAUAUUCAAACUAAUGUUGGUUUCAAAAAUGGAAGGAAAUACUAUGCCAACUUGUCUUGUGCCUCGUCACAAAAUGUGUGUCCCUUUGUGAUAUCAUAGCACACGACGGUAGUGUGAGGAUGACACAAAAGUCUGUUAAUACCUGGGAGGCCACGUCAUUGUUACUUAUAGCUGUAGAAUCUUU